rnacentral:rRNA from 1 species
AACGAACGCUGGCGGCAUGCCUAACACAUGCAAGUCGAACGAGACCUUCGGGUCUAGUGGCGCACGGGUGCGUAACGCGUGGGAAUCUGCCCUUGGUUCGGAAUAACAGUUAGAAAUGACUGCUAAUACCGGAUAAUGUCUUCGGACCAAAGAUUUAUCGCCCAGGGAUGAGCCCGCGUAGGAUUAGCUAGUUGGUGAGGUAAAGGCUCACCAAAGGCGACGAUCCUUAGCUGGUCUGAGAGGAUGAUCAGCCACACUGGGACUGAGACACGGCCCAGACUCCUACGGAGGCAGCAGUGGG